GCGUACACGUGAGCAACUUGUCCCACGGCGGGGGAUAGCCGGCCCAACGGCCGGGUAAUACCGCGUAAUUCAGCCGACCGCAUGAUCGGUUGUGAAAGCGGCCUUCGGGUCGCGCCGGGGAGGGGCUCGCGUCCUAUCAGCUUGUUGGCGAGGUAACGGCUCACCAAGGCUACGACGGGUAGCUGGUCUGAGAGGAUGAUCAGCCACAUUGGGACUGAGAUACGGCCCAG
rnacentral:rRNA from 1 species